CUUAGUGACGGACGGGUGAGUAACGCGUGGGUAACCUGCCUUACACUGGGGGAUAACACUUAGAAAUAGGUGCUAAUACCGCAUAAGCGCACGAAGCCGCAUGGAUUUGUGUGAAAAACUCCGGUGGUGUAAGAUGGACCCGCGUCUGAUUAGCUUGUUGGCGGGGUAACGGCCCACCAAGGCGACGAUCAGUAGCCGGCCUGAGAGGGUGGACGGCCACAUUGGGACUGAGACACGGCCCAAACUCCUACGGAAGGCAGCAG
rnacentral:rRNA from 1 species